rnacentral:rRNA from 1 species
GACACUAUGUGUUGUUGGGUAGGGGAGCGUUCUGUAAGCCUGUGAAGGUGUGUCGUGAGGCAUGCUGGAGGUAUCAGAAGUGCGAAUGCUGACAUAAGUAACGAUAAAGCGGGUGAAAAGCCCGCUCGCCGGAAGACCAAGGGUUCCUGUCCAACGUUAAUCGGGGCAGGGUGAGUCGACCCCUAAGGCGAGGCCGAAAGGCGUAGUCGAUGGGAAACGGGUUAAUAUUCCCGUACUUGGUGUUACUGCGAAGGGGGGACGGAGAAGGCUAUGUUGGCCGGGCGACGGUUGUCCCGGUUUAAGCGUGUAGGUGUGUGUUCCAGGUAAAUCCGGUUCACUUUAACACUGAGGCGUGACGACGAGGCACUACGGUGCUGAAGCAACAAAUGCCCUGCUUCCAGGAAAAGCCUCUAAGCAUCAGGUAACAUCAAAUCGUACCCCAAACCGACACAGGUGGUCAGGUAGAGAAUACCAAGGCGCUUGAGAGAACUCGGGUGAAGGAACUAGGCAAAAUGGUGCCGUAACUUCGGGAGAAGGCACGCUGACACGUAGGUGAAGUGAUUUACUCAUGGAGCUGAAGUCAGUCGAAGAUACCAGCUGGCUGCAACUGUUUAUUAAAAACACAGCACUGUGCAAACACGAAAGUGGACGUAUACGGUGUGACGCCUGCCCGGUGCCGGAAGGUUAAUUGAUGGGGUCAGCGCAAGCGAAGCUCCUGAUCGAAGCCCCGGUAAACGGCGGCCGUAACUAUAACGGUCCUAAGGUAGCGAAAUUCCUUGUCGGGUAAGUUCCGACCUGCACGAAUGGCGUAAUGAUGGCCAGGCUGUCUCCACCCGAGACUCAGUGAAAUUGAACUCGCUGUGAAGAUGCAGUGUACCCGCGGCAAGACGGAAAGACCCCGUGAACCUUUACUAUAGCUUGACACUGAACAUUGAGCCUUGAUGUGUAGGAUAGGUGGGAGGCUUUGAAGUGUGGACGCCAGUCUGCAUGGAGCCGACCUUGAAAUACCACCCUUUAAUGUUUGAUGUUCUAACGUGGACCCGUGAUCCGGGUUGCGGACAGUGUCUGGUGGGUAGUUUGACUGGGGCGGUCUCCUCCUAAAGAGUAACGGAGGAGCACGAAGGUUGGCUAAUCCUGGUCGGACAUCAGGAGGUUAGUGCAAUGGCAUAAGCCAGCUUGACUGCGAGCGUGACGGCGCGAGCAGGUGCGAAAGCAGGUCAUAGUGAUCCGGUGGUUCUGAAUGGAAGGGCCAUCGCUCAACGGAUAAAAGGUACUCCGGGGAUAACAGGCUGAUACCGCCCAAGAGUUCAUAUCGACGGCGGUGUUUGGCACCUCGAUGUCGGCUCAUCACAUCCUGGGGCUGAAGUAGGUCCCAAGGGUAUGGCUGUUCGCCAUUUAAAGUGGUACGCGAGCUGGGUUUAGAACGUCGUGAGACAGUUCGGUCCCUAUCUGCCGUGGGCGCUGGAGAACUGAGGGGGGCUGCUCCUAGUACGAGAGGACCGGAGUGGACGCAUCACUGGUGUUCGGGUUGUCAUGCCAAUGGCACUGCCCGGUAGCUAAAUGCGGAAGAGAUAAGUGCUGAAAGCAUCUAAGCACGAAACUUGCCCCGAGAUGAGUUCUCCCUGAGACUUAAAGUCUCCUGAAGGAACGUUGAAGACGACGACGUUGAUAGGCCGGGUGUGUAAGCGCAGCGAUGCGUUGAGCUAACCGGUACUAAUGAACCGUGAGGCUUAACCUU